AGCGGCGGCUGGAGCGCGAGGUGCGCUCCCGGACGCUGUACAUCCGCGGCGACACGCCCGGCGACGGCGCCCGGUUCGACCCCGGCAGGCUGCUG
rnacentral:tRNA from 1 species